rnacentral:lncRNA from 1 species
AGCUACCUAUUCUGCCCCACAACCCCAGCUACCUGCUAAACUACAGUACCUGUAGCUAUUCUACCAACUACUCUGCUACAGUGACUACUCUGCCCCCUCCCUCUCGCAUCCUCAGAGUCUACUCAGUACGCUAUAGAGACUAUAUAGACUAACUCUUAUUCUCUGAUGCCUUGUGACUUUUAAGAAUGUCCUUAAAAGCAGCCAUUUUAUUUUCAGUUAGCGUGGGUUUCUGAGGGAAUGGUUUUCAGUUAGCGUGUGUUUCUGAGGGAAUGGUUUUCAGUUAGCGUGUGUUUCUGAGGGAAUGGUUUUCAGUUGGCGUGUGUUUCUGAGGGAAUGGUUUUCAUGUUUUCAGUUAGCGUGGGUUUCUGAGGGAAUGGUUUUCAGUUGGUGUGUGUUUCUGAGGGAAUGGGUUAAAAAAACAGACAAACAUAACGACUCCAUUUCUAGCAUGGUCCAUUUGCACAAACACAUUUUUCAGAUCCGCUACAGCGAUAUAACCUCUUCUGAAAACUCUUUUUUUUUGUUGAUCAACCUGUAUUUGGAUGUAGAUUCACAGUUUCAAAAUGUGUCUUUUUAGUGAUUGAUACAAUAUAUUCAUUCAUUUUUGGGAAAAACCUGAAAGAAAAAUGUCAGCAGCUCAGCCCAUGUUUCCUUAUUGGUGAAAUGAAAUGGUUCUGUCUUUAUCAUGAGUGUACGUCAGAUUGGAAUGAAAGUUAAGAUAUGGGGAUGAAUCCCAAAAUGGCACCCUAUUCCAUUUUAUAGUGCACUACUAUAUAGCCCUAUAGGGUUCUGGUGAAAAGUAGUGCACUAUAUAGGGAAUAGGGUGCCAUCUUGGGAUGCAUGCAUUAUAUAUGUCGCAGUUGUAUCCUCGCAACAUUGUAAAUAAAUACGUGCAGCAUCAACCGACCGUUCAUCUGUUUAUUGAAGGAGAUGUAGCUAGCUAUACUCAACCGACCGUUCAUCUGGUUAUUGAAGGAGAUGUAGCUAGCUAUACUCAACCGACCGUUCAUCUGGUUAUUGAAGGAGAUGUAGCUAGCUAUACUCAACCAAACGUUCAUCUGUUUAUUAAAGGAG